AACGCAAUAAAAGCUGGCCAUCGGCGCCAGCAGCAGCAGCGUUUUGGUCCCCUUCCAUGGUGUGGGUGUUUGUUCUUUCGCUUUGUGCAGUAGAGCUUCCUGCUGCUCACUUUUUUAGGUUCACACUACCUUUAUGAGCUGUAACACUCACAGUGAAAGUCUGCAGCUUCACUCCUGUAAACCAGCCAGACCAGGAACCCACCACAAGAAACAACUCUGGAGCCGCCACCUUUAAGAGCCGUAACACUCGCUGUGAAGGUCUGUGGCUUCACUCCUGAAGUCAGAGAGACCACGAACCCACCGGGAGGAGCAAACAACCCCGGACGCACCACCUUUAAGAGCUGUAACGCCGCGAAGGUCUGUGGCUUCACUCCUGAAGUCGGCGAAACUACGAACCCACUGAGAGGAAGGACCAACUCCGGAUGCGCCACCUUUAAGAGCUGUAACACUCCCUGCGAAGGUCUGCGGCUUCACUCAUGAAGUCGUGCAUAGACCACGAACCCACUAGAAAGGAAGACACUCCGGACACAUCUGAACAUCUGAAGGAACAAACGCCGGACCCACCAUCUUUAAGAACUGCAACGGGGUGAGGGUCCGCGGCUUCAUUCUUGAAGUCAGUAGGACCGGGACCAGGAACCCAUCGGAGGGAACCAGCUCCGGACACACAGCCUCGAGGAAUGGUUUUGCACUCUGUGUGUGUGUUUGCCGUCAACCCUGUGCGCAAUGUUAAAAGAACACAAGCGUUAAGGCUCCCUCUCAGAUCUACCGAUGGAAGACAUUGUGAUUUUGACCUUGUUGGAUGCUGCACUUAAAGGUGGUGGAAGAGGAAGAGCCUUGGGGGCUACCAUCCUGGCUGGAGAAGCUGACACGAGGCUCCGUCUUGUGGAUGCAGCAAGGUCUUUUGAAGCUGUUCUCCCUCCUAGUGAUGCUGUGUUGAGGGCAGAGGUGUGCUCAACAUUGAAUGAGACCACAUUCAGGCUGCAGUGAUUGUGCCCUAAAGAGUUCAAGACAUGAUUGGAAGAACCCCUGUUCUAUGUUUAUGCUAUUAAAUUUUGAAUGGAAGAAUGUAUGGGAGUAAAUUCUGAAGGAGUGGGACCCAGGAAGAUGGAAUAAAAGAUUAGAUCAGGCAGAAUUAAUUAAUAUUGGAGCAGUCACCUGGGAUUCUAGAUUUACUAUAUUGACUCAGACAACUAUGAAGUGAUACUUAACUGAAGCCUGGAUUCAACAAUGACCUACAACAGGGUUUCUCAAAAUUUCACAUGCAGAAGAAUCACUUGAUUAUCUUGUUGAAAUGCAGAUUCUGAUUCGCUAGGACUACGGUGAGCCUGGAGUUAUGUAUUUCAAACAAGGUCUAAUUCAUGGAUCAUAUUCAAGUAGCAAAACCCUAAAAUCAAUAAUGUAGAGAAAGGAGUCUAAGUUGGAAUGGACUUAACAUGAGCAGCUUGCUCAGCCACUGCUUAACUAUCUCCCCAGGAAGUCCUAGAGGACAUCCCCUUCAUUAAGAUAUAAAACUGCACUGCUCAGGAGAGCAUCAGAAUUACUGAAAGUGUUGUGGCUAUCUGCCAUGGGUCAGAGAUCAUGGUGGGCAGAUGUUGCAAUGAAGUUGAGUUCCCUGAUUUCAGUGGAAAUAAUGGGUGGUGGUAUGGUAGAGCCCUGGUGGUGAUGCUUAGCCAUCAAAAACAUGUUUAUACAAAAUUAUCAUUAUAUGCUACUGGAAUAAAGGCCGCUAUGGUCUGAAUGUUUGUGUCUCCUCAAAAUUUAAAUGUUAAAAUCCUAGUCUCCCGUAUCUCAAAAUAAUAAGAGCUGUCUAUGACAAACCCACAGCCAAUAUCAUACUGAAUGGGCAAAAACUGGAAGCAUUCCCUUUGAAAACUGGCACAAGAGGGAUGCCCUCUCUCACCACUCCUAUUCAACAUAGUGUUGGAAGUUCUGGCCAGGGCAAUUAGGCAGGAGAAGGAAAUAAAGGGUAUUCAAUUAGGAAAAGAGGAAGUCAAAUUGUCCCUGUUUGCAGAUGACAUGAUUGUAUAUCUAGAAAACCCCAUUGUCUCAGCCCAAAAUCUCCUUAAGCUGAUAAGCAACUUCAGCAAAGUCUCAGGAUACAAAAUCAAUGUACAAAAAUCACAAGCAUUCUUAUACACCAAUAACAGACAAAGAGAGAGCCAAAUCAUGAGUGAACUCCCAUUCACAAUUGCUUCAAAGAGAAUAAAAUACUUAGGAAUCCAACUUACAAGGGACAUGAAGGACCUCUUCAAGGAGAACUACAAACCACUGCUCAAUGAAAUAAAAGAGGAUACAAACAAAUGGAAGAACAUUCCAUGCUCAUGGGUAGGAAGAAUCAAUAUCAUGAAAAUGGCCAUACUACGCAAGGUAAUUUAUAGAUUCAAUGCCAUCCCCAUCAAGCUACCAAUGAGUUUCUUCACAGAAUUGGAAAAAACUACUUUAAAGUUCAUAUGGACCCAAAAAAGAGCCCGCAUUGCCAAGUCAAUCCUAAGCCAAAAGAACAAAGCUGGAGGCAUCACGCUACCUGACUUCAAGCUAUACUACAAGGCUACAGUAACCAAAACAGCAUGGUACUGGUACCAAAACAGAGAUAUAGAUCAAUGGAACAGAACAGAGCCCUCAGAAAUAACGCCACAUAUCUACAACUAUCCGAUCUUUGACAAACCUGACAAAAACAAGAAAUGGGGAAAGGAUUCCCUAUUUAAUAAAUGGUGCUGGGAAAACUGGCUAGUUAUAUGUAGAAAGCUGAAACUGGAUCCCUUCCUUACACCUUACACAAAAAUUAAUUCAAGAUGGAUUAAAGACUUAAACGUCAGACCUACAACCAUAAAAACCCUAGAAGAAAACCUAGGCAUUACCAUUCAGGACAUAGGCAUGGGCAAGGACUUCAUGUCUAAAACACCAAAAGCAAUGGCAACAAAAGCCAAAAUUGACAAAUGGGAUCUAAUUAAACUAAAGAGCUUCUGCACAGCAAAAGAAACUACCAUCAGAGUGAACAGGCAACCUACAAAAUGGGAGAAAAUUUUCGCAACCUACUCAUUUGACAAAGGGCUAAUAUCCAGAAUCUACAAUGAACUCAAACAAAUUUACAAGAAAAAAACAACCCCAUCAAAAAGUGGGCAAAGGAUAUGAACAGACACUUCUCAAAAGAAGACAUUUAUGCAGCCAAAAGACACAUGAAAAAAUGCUCAUCAUCACUGGCCAUCAGAGAAAUGCAAAUCAAAAUCACAAUGAGAUACCAUCUCACACCAGUUAGAAUGGCAAUCAUUAAAAAGUCAGGAAACAACAGGUGCUGGAGAGGAUGUGAAGAAAUAGGAACACUUUUACACUGUUGGUGGGAGUGUAAACUAGUUCAACCAUUGUGGAAGUCAGUGUGGUGAUUCCUCAGGGAUCUAGAACUAGAAAUACCAUUUGACCCAGCCAUCCCAUUACUGGGUAUAUACCCAAAGGACUAUAAAUCAUGCUGCUAUAAAGAAAGACAUAUGCACACGUAUGUUUAUUGCGGCACUAUUCACAAUAGCAAAGACUUGGAACCAACCCAAAUGUCCAACAAUGACAAACUGGAUUAAGAAAAUGUGGCACAUAUACACUAUGGAAUACUAUGCAGCCAUAAAAAAGGAUGAGUUCAUGUCCCUUGUAGGGACAUAGAUGAAAUUGGAAAUCAUCAUUCUCAGUAAACUAUCGCAAGGACAAAAAACCAAACACCGCAUGUUCUCACUCAUAGAUGGGAAUUGAACAAUGAGAACAUGGACACAGGAAGGGGAACAUCACACUCUGGGGACUGUUGUGGGGUGGGGGGGGGGAGGGAUAGCAUUAGGAGAUAUACCUAAUGCUAAAUGACGAGUUAGUGGGUGCAGCACACCAGCAUGGCAUAUGUAUAUGUAUGUAACUAACCUGCACAUUGUGCACAUGUACCCUAAAACUUAAAGUAUAAUAAAAAAAAUUUUUUUUU